UACGAGAGGUGCAAGCGUUAUUCGGAAUUAUUGGGCGUAAAGGGCGCGUAGGCGGGUCAUUAAGUUUGUUGUUAAAUCCUCUGGCUUAACCAGAGACAAGCAAUAAAAAACUGGUACCUAGAGCGUGAGAGAGAGAAGUGGAAUUCCCGGAGUAGCGGUAAAAUGCGUAGAUCUCGGGAGGAACACCAAUGGCGAAGGCUGCUUCUUGGCUCAUUGCUGACGCUGAGGCGCGAAAGCGUGGGGAGCAAACAGG
rnacentral:rRNA from 1 species